UUUAUUUACAUUAAGAAAAAUUGCUGUGAGAUGUCAUAUUAGCUUUCUGCAGCUGUUAUAGCAAAUUAUCACAAACCUGGUCACUUAAAACAACAGAAGCGUAUCCUCUUACAGCUAUGGAGGCCAGGAGUCUGAGACCAGUGGCAAUGAUGUCAGUUUUACCAGGCGCCAGCAGGGCCACCUCCCUCCAGAGGCUCCAAGGGAGAAUCUAUUUCCUUGACUGUCCAGCUUCUAAAGCUACUUUCCUUGGCUCAUGGGCUCUUCCUCCACCUCCAAAGACAGCACCAUCUUCGAAUCUUUCUCUCUGCUUCCAUUAUCACAUCAUCUUUUGCCCUCUGUGUCUCGUAGAAUCUCUCUCUGCUUCCCUAACAGCGUUCAGAGCCUGUCCAGAUCAUCCAGGAUAAGCUCCAUCUCAAAUUCCUCCACAUAAUCUCAUCUGCAGGGCUCUGUCAACCAUUUUUGCCACGUAAGCUAACAUCUACAGGUUCUAGAGACUCCGAUGCAGAUAUCUUUUGAGGAGCCAUUUUUCAGCCUACCACAGGUGCUAAGUAAGUUCUUUAUUCUCUCUGAGCCUCAGCUUCCUCAUCUGGAAGUGAUAUAUGCAAACGUGAAGUAAAUUAGGAGGGCUGAUCUGCCACUGGACUGGUAGAAGGGGAAGGCAGGAGCUGAAGACCACCUUGUCCUGGGCAAAUGAGACCUGACACUACUCUCUUCCCUAUGUUUCUCCCCUCCACACUGGCCAGAGUUCCUGAUGAGGAUGUGGUAGUAUAAGCAAAGAAAUCUGGAGCUAGGGAUCCUAAGAUCUAAGUUCAAGUCCCAGCCCUGUCAGCAACUUGCAGCAUGACCUCAGAUGAGGCCGUGUAUGGUAGAAAAGGUACUGUUCUGGAAAUCGAGAGACCUGGAUCCCAACUUCAACUCUCUUAUCACCUGAUGGAAUAACUUGAAAGGAGUCAACCCUUCAGAGUUGAAACUUCAAGAGUUUCAAGAGUCAAAACAGCUGAGUCAAUGCUCCGAAGGACUCUAUUUCCUCCUCUGCAGAACAGCAGCAGUGGAGCACAGAGAAGCAGAGCAUUUCGGGGACAAGAUGCCAGCCUCAAAUCCACUUCCUAGACACAUGGCAAUCUCUUCAAAUAAACGAAUCAGUUACUAACCCCA